CUGCCCUCAGGAGGGGGAUAACGGUUGGAAACGACCGCUAAUACCCCAUAUGCCUAUUGGUGAAAUGAAUUUCGCCUGAGGAUGAGCUCGCGUCUGAUUAGCUAGUUGGUGUGGUAAUGGCUCACCAAGGCUUCGAUCAGUAGCUGGUCUGAGAGGAUGAUCAGCCACACUGGGACUGAGACACGGCCCAGACUCCUACGGGAGGCAGCAGUGGGGAAUUUUCCGCAAUGGGCGAAAGCCUGACGGAGCAACGCCGCGUGAGGGAAGAAGGCCUCUGGGCUGUAAACCUCUUUUCUCAAGGAAGAAGAUAUGACGGUACUUGAGGAAU
rnacentral:rRNA from 1 species